GGGCGCGUAGCUCAGUUGGUAGAGCAGCGGACUCUUAAUCCGCGGGUCGACAGUUCGAGCCUGUCCGCGCUCA
rnacentral:tRNA from 1 species